CCCGGGCGUCCCAAAUGAUCAGCAAUCUUAUCAACUGUGUCGUAUGGAGAAAGCAGAAAACAAGAAUGAGGGAGGAGGCUGGAGAAUAGAAAGGAAAAAGAAGUAGGGUAAAGCCAAGAGGCCAGCAGGUGACACUUAUUACCUACCACUGUCAGGGAAAGAGCAACAGGAAACUGGAGCUCAUACAGAUGUGCCCUGCUGUGAGGUGGUGAUGACUCACUAAGCCCCACCCUGACUUAAAAGAAAUCUGCCCACAGCUAACUCUUGGGAUAUACUCAACAAACAGCCAGCUGAUGGCUGAUUUGGCUCUCUGACUGCUGAUACUGGGAAAAGGGUACCCCAGUUGAGGGAGGAGCAUUCCAUUUACUGAAGGACUAACACCAACUGUAAAUGAAUACGCGAGUAUCUGGCUAUAUACUUCAGCCUCCUAUGAGUUGGAUCGCUGGGAGUCAGGCUUCUCCAGGCAGCUGGACCUCAGAGCACCGACUUGGCUGUGAAACAGGUUCAGCUCUCUGGUAAAUUCAUCAAAGUAAAACAACCCUGGGUGAUCUCUUUGAGAGCAAGUCAGAUGGCUCUGGCACUAAGCAAAACCUUAUGACUCAAUCAUUUUGAUCACAGAGUGCAAAGGACGUAAUUAUGUUGGAAAGGCAUGAUUAUCCUGUUGCUGACCCUGACUCCAUUCCCGGUCCUAUCUCAUGACUCGACAAGUAGAUGUGAAGUCCUCUGGCCCCGGUUACCAGGGUCAAGUGCCUGCUUUCUGGAGUCAGACCUGGAUUCAAAUCGCAGCUCUGCCUCUUCCCAGCAAGUCUCUUAACUUCUCUGCCGCUCGGGUGUUUUCAUCUGUAAGGGCGAUGAUGAACACACCUGCCUGUGGAGUUGGGAGGACUGUAGGAGGGAAUGAAUAGAGGACCGCUCAGCUCAGUGCCUGGAAUUGUCAACCCAAGUAAUGUUAGGUAUCGUUGUUAUCAAGAGUGUUCAUGUUAUCGCUAAGGCACGUA